UCAGGCGACCGUUACCGCUGAGGGGACCGCGCGGGGGGUCCUCGCCGCCGGUGCCAGCGCUCCGUCCGGCCCCUCAGUACCCGCCUUUGUCCCCACGUCACCUUCCCAUGUGACACAGAGGUAAUCUCCCUCUGUCCUACGUGAUGCCCGCCGCGGCGUGCCCUAUAUAAUGAUGCUGCACGGAAAGCAGGACAGCCCCGGAGUACAAAAGUGCUCUUGCAAAGAAAACACCACGUUUGCUAUGUUCCCUACUCCAGCUUCUCACUGAUAAACAACUGCAGCAUCAAACACAAAGUUUGCACAGAGUCUGUAGGCUGGGCUCCCUGGACAUUCUGCGUCUGGGAAGAGGCAAUGUCUGGAGGCUCAGCAGUUAUUAACCAUGGGACAACCCGAAUGGCAAGCUUGGAAGUCACUCCUAUUGUGAGCAUGGAGAUUUGUGCCCAAGCUGCCUCUGUGCACAAAGCUUUGAGUGUUUCCAAGAACUAGCUGAACCUGGAGAUUAAAGGGAUCAGGAGCUCAGCACUCUUGAUUGAUUUUCUAAUCAA